AGUGAACGCUGGCGGUAGGCCUAACACAUGCAAGUCGAACGGCAGCACAGUAAGAGCUUGCUCUUACGGGUGGCGAGUGGCGGACGGGUGAGGAAUACAUCGGAAUCUACUUUUUCGUGGGGGAUAACGUAGGGAAACUUACGCUAAUACCGCAUACGACCUACGGGUGAAAGCAGGGGAUCUUCGGACCUUGCGCGAUUGAAUGAGCCGAUGUCGGAUUAGCUAGUUGGCGGGGUAAAGGCCCACCAAGGCGACGAUCCGUAGCUGGUCUGAGAGGAUGGAACACCCACACUGAAACGGAGACAGGUCCAGGAUCCUGAGGGAAGGAGCAGUUGGGGAUAAUGGGAAAAGGGGGGAAACCUUGACCAAGCAGACCGCGUGGGGGGAAGAAGCCUUCCGGGUGGAAAGGCCUUUUGGUGGGGAAAAAAAGCCGGAGGUUUAAAACCCGGCGGUUUGAAGGUAACCAAAAAAUAAGCAACGGCUAACUUCGUG
rnacentral:rRNA from 1 species